CUACGGGUCGCUGCAGUGAGGAAUAUUGCACAAUGGGGGGAACCCUGAUGCGGCAACGCCGCGUGGAGGAUGACGCAUUUCGGUGUGUAAACUCCUUUUAUAUGUCAAGAAAAUGACGGUAGCAUAUGAAUAAGCACCGGCUAACUCCGUGCCAGCAGCCGCGGUAAUACGGAGGGUGCAAGCGUUACUCGGAAUCACUGGCGUAAAGGACGCGUAGGCGGGUUGGAAAGUCAGGUGUGAAAUCCUACAGCUUAACUGUAGAACUGCACUUGAAACUUCUAAUCUAGAGUAUGGGAGGGGGAGAUGGAAUUAGUGGUGUAGGAGUAAAAUCCGUAGAUAUCACUAGGAAUACCUAAAGCGAAGGCGAUCUCCUGGAACAUUACUGACGCUAAGGCGUGAAAGCGUGGGGAGCAAACAGGAUUAGAUACCCUCGUAGUC
rnacentral:rRNA from 1 species